AUUGAACGCUGGCGGCAGGCUUAACACAUGCAAGUCGAACGGUAACAUAAAGGAGCUUGCUUCUUUGAUGACGAGUGGCGGACGGGUGAGUAAUGCUUGGGAAUCUAGCUUAUGGAGGGGGAUAACUACGGGAAACUGUAGCUAAUACCGCGUAGAAUCGGGAGAUGAAAGUGUGGGACCUUCGGGCCACAUGCCAUAGGAUGAGCCCAAGUGGGAUUAGGUAGUUGGUGAGGUAAAGGCUCACCAGGCCGACGAUCUCUAGCUGGUCUGAGAGGAUGACCAGCCACACUGGGACUGAGACACGGCCCAGACUCCUACGGGAGGCAGCAGUGGGGAAUAUUGCGCAAUGGGGGCAACCCUGACGCAGCCAUGCCGCGUGAAUGAAGAAGGCCUUCGGGUUGUAAAGUUCUUUCGGUAGCGAGGAAGGCAUUUAGUUUAAUAGACUAGGUGAUUGACGUUAACUACAGAAGAAGCACCGGCUAACUCCGUG
rnacentral:rRNA from 1 species